UCCAGACCCAGUAACUUAGUUUAUUUAUAAAGCAUCUCACUUCUCAGUGCCAAUGCACAUACACAGAACCACCCUUGUCUCUGCACAAAUAUACAUGCAAAUGCAUGUACAUAAGUUGUGCUGCUUUUGUUUUCACAGUUGCAGAAUGAUUGCUGUACCAAAAAUUGCAUUCCUCUUUAAGGCAGGAAGAAGGGGAAGGACAAAAGGAUAAAAACCUCAAGCCGGUUGAGUCCGUCCUUAACAGGAGCUCUUCCAGAAGCCUGUCUAGCAACUUGCAUAUACAUCUCCACUGUUGACUCCAGCAGCAAGGAUAGCUGAUGAAUAUUGCAGUAGGGAAUAUUCUACCUUGAAUAUUGAAUAGGAAGACUGGACUUUGGUUGAUGUCUGCUUCAUGAAGGAAGAAUCAGCAUCUACCACAUUCAACACUGUAGAACAACACAUGGCCUAUAGUCCAUGAACAACCCACUGGAAUUCUCUCACACCACAAGUGAUAGAACUACACAUCUGUGCCCAGGAUGAUCUGAUUCUGAAGUCCAUGCUCUUGACUACUCAGUAAUUACUGCUUCCUCUGUAACGCAAAUAGCUUGGUGUGAUUGGUAUGGCUGAACUUCUUUAAUAUUGCAAGGUUUGGGAACAGGAAAUAAGGUUCUUUCAUAUACCUCUGAUGGGAGGGAAGAUUAGAGUUUCUGCAGGGUAAUUUGCCCAUGUCUUGAAAACUUUAUGAAUGCACAUAUGCUUUCAUUUAUCAAUUCCAUAUCUAGGAAUCCAUCUUUAGGAAAUAAAAAUAGAUUUCUACAAAGACUUAUUUACAGGCACAAUAAACACAAUUUUUUCAUAAAAAUGAAAACUUGGAAAAUUAAUCUGUACCAUGCAACCAUUGACAUUAUUUUAAUAGAAGAAUAUUUCCUGACAUAGAAAAAGAGUAUAUUAUUAUGUGAAUAGAUCCAUUUUGAUAAAAUAUAUAAGUUAUCUGUGUGAAGAAAAAAACAGGAAGUAGGUUUUAAAUGGUAAUAUGGUAGUUACUUCUGGUAGAGGAGUACAGAUAAUGGGUGAUUUUAAUUCUAUUAUUUGUGCUUUUAAAAAUAUUUUCCAUUUUUCACAAAUGUCUAAGCAGUGAUUUUAUUUAUCAGAUAAAACCAUAAGUAGGUACCAUUUAAAGAGAAGGUAUACCCGUGUGUAAGUUUGCUUUCUCAGGUGCUCUAAAACUUCUGGAUCUUUCCUUGGAUGUAGUCAUCCAUUAGGAUAGAUGGGGGAACAUCCCAGGUGUGGGUGCAUAUUUAUAAUGACACUGAGUAUACAAGUGUAGUUUUUAGGAUUAGAAAACCCAGUGGUUCAAAGAAGCAGUGUUCCCAGCUGGGUCAAGUAGGAACCAGGUAAUUGGGCCAGCAAGCUAAUUGUGGCAGAGAGUUCAUGAUUAGGAAAGAGACCACAUCUUAUCCUGAUGGAGUUCUCAGACCCAGAUCAAGGACAGGGCCUGUAUAAAUAAGACUUUGGGAUGAACUGCUGUACCUGUAGACUGGACCACCAUGGAGUGUGCAACCUCACAUUGGCAUGAAGUUGCUUUACCUCCCAGCUCUGUUUGAGACCUUGAGACAAGGUCAUCACACCACACCUCACUUUACCAUCAGCCUUGGUCUCUGCCAUGUGGCUGCAGAUGCUUUGGUCUACCUUCCUAUGCAUACUGUUCGGGGUUCCUCUCACGUGCCUCUUCUCUCUUUCUCUCUCACCCAGCCUUACCCUGUGUCCUCUGGAAUCUCUGUGUAUGACCUUCAAAUUCUCCUACAUCCUCAGUCUUUUUAAAGACUGCUUCUCUUUGGCUUUAAAAUAUAUGUUUACCCAAUAGUAAUAAAAUGUCUCCUUCUGCAUAUCCAGCUACCCACAGGACUCUUAACAAUUUCCAUAGUCCAUAGAAAACACACUUAGUUCCUUCUUACAGCCUGAAAGGAACAGUGUGAGAGAAUGAACGCAUUCUUCAGCAGCUAUCAUUAUCUACAAGCAGAACUUGUGAGUGGGGUGUAACCUUUAGACCAGUUCUCUAUAUAUGUAAAAAUAAUAGACCACUUUAUUCAUCAAGUAUGAAUGAAACAUAUAAAACAGAACUCUUCAUCUUUCCCCUUAAAUAUGUCUUUUUAUUAUAUUACUUUUCUUUUUGAAAUGUAAAGUAUAAUUUACAUGCAUACUUUUCAUCCAGUUGGUUAAUACUUUAACCUAACCAGUCCCCGUAACUAGCCAUAGCAUUGUAAUAUCAAGGAUGCCAUUUGAAUAAGAUUGAAAAAAAAAAAAAAAACGUGCAGAGGCUGGGCGCAAUGGCUCACACCUGUAAUCCCAGCACUUUGGGAGGCCGAGGUGGGGGGAUCACAAGGUCAAGAGAGAGUCCAUCCUGGCCAACAUGGUGAAACCCCGUCUCUACUAAAAAUACAAAAAUUAGCUGAGUGUGGUAGUGCAUGCCUGUAGUCCCAAGGUACUAGGGAGGCUGAGGCAGGAGAACGGCUUGAACCUGGGAGAUGGAAGUUGCAGUGAGCUGAGAUCACACCACUGCACUCCAGCCUGGUGACAGAGUGAGACUCCAUCUCAAAAAAAAAAAAAAAAAAAAAGAUGGUCGGAGCACAAUACCAAUGUUUCAAUUUGACAUCUUGUAACUAACUGCUUUUAUAUCCCUCCAUAUUUCCUUCCUCCUCAAAUAAUAUGUUUGCAUGAAUUCAUUGUGUAUUUUCUACAUCUGCACACACUUGAGGUAGGAAGCAUCCAGCAUUGCACAUGAAAUAUGUAAGGCAGAAUACUCAAGAAGUUAGGAUUGACUUGAUUUGGGUUGUGACUUACAAGCUGAGUCAUAAGGAGUGGUUGCAAUGUUCUCCUUUAAAGUAUUUUAGCAUAGACUAUGCAAAAUUGUUCAUGGGCAGUCAGUUUAAGCUUUAACUUUAUAUUCAGCCAGUCACCCAAAGUGAGAAUUCACACUGGAAAAGGUGGUAGACGGGGUGGGAGUGUGGAUAUCUAGUUAGCUACAGCAGAGGUACCCUACCCAAUGCAGUUACUACCAGUGCUCUGUUCUCCAGAUUUUAGUCAACAUCUGAGGCUUUGCUAGAUAACAUACUGGUGAUGCAGGAUUUUUUUUUUUUCUCCUUAGCUCAGCUAGGUCUGGGUUCUUAUCUCACAACCAGGAAAAAUUAGGCAUGCAAACACUUGAAGAGUGAGUGAAGUAGAAUUUACUAAGCAAAAAGAAAGCUCUCAGCGAAGAGAGGGGUCCUGAAAGCAGGUUCCUCGUUGCCCCCUUCAUAGUUGAAUAUAAGGGCUUUUACAUACAUGCUGAUGAAGCUGGGUUCCCUAUUUGUAUAAGGUGUGAAUUCCUUGUGACUCCACCCCACUGCCUCAGUGCACAUGUGAGCCCUUAGUUCACCGCGGGCAUGUUUAGGCAAGUCCCCUGUGCCAGUUCCCAUAUCUGUACAAAACACGGGUCGGAGGUGCUCCAGAGACCCUUCACUUACUGUCUGUCUAAAGCAAGCUGACCAAUUCCUUUGAGUGAUAUCAGAAAUGCUCUUAUUGGUGAACAUGAUCACUUGUUAAUUAGCAUAAUGAUUAUUAGAAAUCCAUUCUCAUUGGAGAAAUCAAAGUAUUCAGGUUUUGUGUGUUGGCUAAAAUAUUUUAGAGACACACAUUACCUUUCAUGACCAGGGCAUGAUCAUCUUACAAGAUUGUUGUACGUACCCUUAGAGCAGGCAUCUGAGGCUGGGUCACCACAUGACCUUGGCUUCAGCCUCUGACUUGGGAGCAUUUCUGGUCUUGCGAGGAUAACUGAGAGAAACCAAAUCCUGCUUCUGGUAUAUUGUUGUGCCCGUCUUGACGAAAUUUAUUCUGUAAAUGUGAUGUUCAUAGGUCCCAAAAGAGAGCUGGGAGUUCGUUUGCGAAAUCAUUGCGUGAGAUGUGUCCUGCCUGCUUGCCAAUAAUUAUUUAUUGAAUAAAUGUUCACGUG